rnacentral:rRNA from 1 species
UACGUAGGGGGCUAGCGUUGUCCGGAUUUAUUGGGCGUAAAGAGCGUGUAGGCGGCCAGGUAGGUCUGCUGUGAAAACUCGAGGCUCAACCUCGAGACGUCGGCGGAAACCAUCUGGCUAGAGUCCGGAAGAGGAGAGUGGAAUUCCUGGUGUAGCGGUGAAAUGCGCAGAUAUCAGGAAGAACACCCGUGGCUAAGGCGGCUCACUGGACCACAACUGACGCUGAGGCGCGAAAGCUAGGGGAGCAAACAGG